GAAUGCUGACAUAAGUAACGAUAAAGCGGGUGAAAAGCCCGCUCGCCGGAAGACCAAGGGUUCCUGUCCAACGUUAAUCGGGGCAGGGUGAGUCGACCCCUAAGGCGAGGCCGAAAGGCGUAGUCGAUGGGAAACGGGUUAAUAUUCCCGUACUUGGUGUUACUGCGAAGGGGGGACGGAGAAGGCUAUGUUGGCCGGGCGACGGUUGUCCCGGUUUAAGCGUGUAGGUGUGUGUUCCAGGUAAAUCCGGUUCACUUUAACACUGAGGCGUGACGACGAGGCACUACGGUGCUGAAGCAACAAAUGCCCUGCUUCCAGGAAAAGCCUCUAAGCAUCAGGUAACAUCAAAUCGUACCCCAAACCGACACAGGUGGUCAGGUAGAGAAUACCAAGGCGCUUGAGAGAACUCGGGUGAAGGAACUAGGCAAAAUGGUGCCGUAACUUCGGGAGAAGGCACGCUGACACGUAGGUGAAGUGAUUUACUCAUGGAGCUGAAGUCAGUCGAAGAUACCAGCUGGCUGCAACUGUUUAUUAAAAACACAGCACUGUGCAAACACGAAAGUGGACGUAUACGGUGUGACGCCUGCCCGGUGCCGGAAGGUUAAUUGAUGGGGUCAGCGCAAGCGAAGCUCCUGAUCGAAGCCCCGGUAAACGGCGGCCGUAACUAUAACGGUCCUAAGGUAGCGAAAUUCCUUGUCGGGUAAGUUCCGACCUGCACGAAUGGCGUAAUGAUGGCCAGGCUGUCUCCACCCGAGACUCAGUGAAAUUGAACUCGCUGUGAAGAUGCAGUGUACCCGCGGCAAGACGGAAAGACCCCGUGAACCUUUACUAUAGCUUGACACUGAACAUUGAGCCUUGAUGUGUAGGAUAGGUGGGAGGCUUUGAAGUGUGGACGCCAGUCUGCAUGGAGCCGACCUUGAAAUACCACCCUUUAAUGUUUGAUGUUCUAACGUGGACCCGUUACCCGGGUUGCGGACAGUGUCUGGUGGGUAGUUUGACUGGGGCGGUCUCCUCCUAAAGAGUAACGGAGGAGCACGAAGGUUGGCUAAUCCUGGUCGGACAUCAGGAGGUUAGUGCAAUGGCAUAAGCCAGCUUGACUGCGAGCGUGACGGCGCGAGCAGGUGCGAAAGCAGGUCAUAGUGAUCCGGUGGUUCUGAAUGGAAGGGCCAUCGCUCAACGGAUAAAAGGUACUCCGGGGAUAACAGGCUGAUACCGCCCAAGAGUUCAUAUCGACGGCGGUGUUUGGCACCUCGAUGUCGGCUCAUCACAUCCUGGGGCUGAAGUAGGUCCCAAGGGUAUGGCUGUUCGCCAUUUAAAGUGGUACGCGAGCUGGGUUUAGAACGUCGUGAGACAGUUCGGUCCCUAUCUGCCGUGGGCGCUGGAGAACUGAGGGGGGCUGCUCCUAGUACGAGAGGACCGGAGUGGACGCAUCACUGGUGUUCGGGUUGUCAUGCCAAUGGCACUGCCCGGUAGCUAAAUGCGGAAGAGAUAAGUGCUGAAAGCAUCUAAGCACGAAACUUGCCCCGAGAUGAGUUCUCCCUGAGACUUAGAGUCUCCUGAAGGAACGUU
rnacentral:rRNA from 2 species